rnacentral:rRNA from 1 species
CUACGGGUGGCUGCAGUCGAGAAUAGUCUACAAUGGACGAAAGUCUGAUAGUGCGACGCCGCGUGGAUGAAGAAGCAUUUCGGUGUGUAAAGUCUUUUUCUGUGUGAGCAAUGUUUUCCAGGUUAAUAGCUUGGAGAAAGCGAUAUUAACACAGGAAUAAGCUCCGGCUAACUCCGUGGCCAGCAGCCGCGGUAACACGGGGGGAGCAAGCGUUGUCCGGAAUUACUAGGCGUAAAGGGUAAGUAGGCGGAAUUGUAAGUCAGAUGUUAAAGGCACCGGCUCAACCGGUGUAUGGCAUUUGAUACUGUAAUUCUAGAGUAAGGUGGGGGAAGACGGAAUUCCUGGUGUAGCGGUGGAAUGCGCAGAUAUCAGGAGGAACACCAGAGGCGCAGGCGGUCCUCUAUACCAUUACUGACGCUCAAUUACGAAGGUGUGGGUAUCAAACAGGAUUAGAUACCCCGGUAGUC